rnacentral:snoRNA from 1 species
UUCUACAUUUCAGUGUUAAGUGGCUAUUUAUUGAUAUAAAAAUAUUUCCAAUGUGCUGAACAAGUAGUUGGAGGUUAAUGAGCAGCUUAACGAAAUGUGUAGUAAUGGGGCCAGUGUCCUUCAUGCAAGU